rnacentral:rRNA from 1 species
AUACGGAGGGGGCUAGCGUUGUUCGGAAUUACUGGGCGUAAAGCGCGCGUAGGCGGAUUGGUCAGUUGGGGGUGAAAUCCCGAGGCUUAACCUCGGAACUGCCUUCAAAACGGCCAGUCUUGAGUCCGGGAGAGGUGAGUUGAAUUCCUAGUGUAGAGGUGAAAUUCGUAGAUAUUAGGAAGAACACCAGUGGCGAAGGCGGCUCACUGGCCCGGUACUGACGCUGAGGCGCGAAAGCGUGGGGAGCAAACAGGAUUAGAUACCCCAGUAGUCC